UACGUAGGUGGCAAGCGUUGUCCGGAAUUAUUGGGCGUAAAGCGCGCGCAGGCGGUCCUUUUAAGUCUGAUGUGAAAGCCCACGGCUCAACCGUGGAGGGUCAUUGGAAACUGGGGGACCUGAGUGCAGGAGAGAAGAGUGGAAUUCCACGUGUAGCGGUGAAAUGCGUAGAGAUGUGGAGGAACACCAGUGGCGAAGGCGGCGCCCUGGCUCGCAACUGACGCUCAGACACGACAGCAUGGGGAGCGAACGGG
rnacentral:rRNA from 1 species